AUUAACUUCCUCAGUUCAUUCCGAUCAGUUCGUUCUGUGAACAAAGGUUAGCUUCCCGCUAACCUCCAGCUGUGGAUGAAGAACGAACGUUGUCCGCUGCGGUCUCUGCCGUCUUCGGGCUUCUCUCGAACAGUUUUGCUUCUGUGGGGCCUCGAAGAGAAAAUUUUCCUUUUUAGAAAUGACGACCCUGGAGCCUCAGGACUGGAACACCUUGAUGAGAGGAACGUGUCAAAGGUCAUCUAGUCGAUGAGAAGAGGAACCCAUUUAUUGAGCCACAGUAAACAGAGUUUCUCUGAAUUUAAGAACAACUUUAGUCAGACGGACUGAGCAGAAACUCAGAUUAAAGUUUAUUAAAAGAUCAUAAAAUAUCUGCUUCACUAAAAUGUUUUUUCAUCAGUUAUAAACUGUUUCUCUUCAUCCUUCACUUCAACUACGAGCAAAACAUUAAAACAAGUAAAAUUAUUGUUAA